CCUACGGGGUGCAGCAGUAGGGAAUAUUGCUCAAUGGGGGAAACCCUGAAGCAGCAACGCCGCGUGGAGGAUGAAGGUUUUCGGAUUGUAAACUCCUUUUGUUAGAGAAGAUAAUGACGGUAUCUAACGAAUAAGCACCGGCUAACUCCGUGCCAGCAGCCGCGGUAAUACGGCGGGUGCAAGCGUUACUCGGAAUCACUGGGCGUAAAGAGCGCGUAGGCGGGAUAGCAAGUCAGAUGUGAAAUCCUAUGGCUUAACCAUAGAACUGCAUUUGAAACUGUUAUUCUAGAGUAUGGGAGAGGUAGGUGGAAUUCUUGGUGUAGGGGUAAAAUGCGUAGAGAUCAAGAGGAAUACUGAUUGCGAAGGCGACCUGCUAGAACAUAACUGACGCUGAUGCGCGAAAGCGUGGGGAGCAAACAGGAUUAGAUACCCCUGUAGUC
rnacentral:rRNA from 1 species